rnacentral:rRNA from 1 species
UACGUAGGGUGCAAGCGUUGUCCGGAAUUAUUGGGCGUAAAGAGCUCGUAGGCGGUCUGUCACGUCGGGCGUGGAAAUCCAGGGCUUAACCCUGGACCUGCGUUCGAUACGGGCAGACUAGAGUUCGGUAGGGGAGACUGGAAUUCCUGGUGUAGCGGUGAAAUGCGCAGAUAUCAGGAGGAACACCGGUGGCGAAGGCGGGUCUCUGGGCCGAUACUGACGCUGAGGAGCGAAAGCGUGGGGAGCGAACAGG